rnacentral:rRNA from 1 species
UACGAAGGGGGCUAGCGUUGCUCGGCAUCGGUGGGCGUAAAGCGCACGCCGGCGGAUCCAUAUGUCGGGGGUGAAAGCCCGGGGCUCAACCUCGGAAUUGCCUUCGAUACUGUCGGUCUCGAGUCCGGGAGAGGUGAGUGGAAUUCCUAGUGUAGAGGUGACAUUGGGAGAUAUUAGGAAGUACACCAGUGGCGAAGGCGGCUCACUGGCCCUGUACUGACGCUCAGGUGCGAAAGCGUGGGGAGCAAACAGG